rnacentral:rRNA from 2 species
UGCCGGAGGCCACUGCUAUGGGGGUCCGACUAAGCCAUGCGAGUCAAGGGGGCGUCCCUUCUGGGACGCCACCGGCGGACGGCUCAGUAACACGUCGGUAACCUACCCUCGGGAGGGGGAUAACCCCGGGAAACUGGGGCUAAUCCCCCAUAGGCCUGGGGUACUGGAAGGUCCCCAGGCCGAAAGGGAGCCGUAAGGCUCCGCCCGAGGAUGGGCCGGCGGCCGAUUAGGUAGUUGGUGGGGUAACGGCCCACCAAGCCGAAGAUCGGUACGGGCCGUGAGAGCGGGAGCCCGGAGAUGGACACUGAGACACGGGUCCAGGCCCUACGGGGCGCAGCAGGCGCGAAACCUCCGCAAUGCGGGAAACCGCGACGGGGGGACCCCCAGUGCCGUGCCUCUGGCACGGCUUUUCCGGAGUGUAAAAAGCUCCGGGAAUAAGGGCUGGGCAAGGCCGGUGGCAGCCGCCGCGGUAAUACCGGCGGCCCGAGUGGUGGCCACUAUUAUUGGGCCUAAAGCGGCCGUAGCCGGGCCCGUAAGUCCCUGGCGAAAUCCCACGGCUCAACCGUGGGGCUCGCUGGGGAUACUGCGGGCCUUGGGACCGGGAGAGGCCGGGGGUACCCCCGGGGUAGGGGUGAAAUCCUAUAAUCCCGGGGGGACCGCCAGUGGCGAAGGCGCCCGGCUGGAACGGGUCCGACGGUGAGGGCCGAAGGCCAGGGGAGCGAACCGGAUUAGAUACCCGGGUAGUCCUGGCUGUAAAGGAUGCGGGCUAGGUGUCGGGCGAGCUUCGAGCUCGCCCGGUGCCGUAGGGAAGCCGUUAAGCCCGCCGCCUGGGGAGUACGGCCGCAAGGCUGAAACUUAAAGGAAUUGGCGGGGGAGCACUACAAGGGGUGGAGCGUGCGGUUUAAUUGGAUUCAACGCCGGGAACCUCACCGGGGGCGACGGCAGGAUGAAGGCCAGGCUGAAGGUCUUGCCGGACGCGCCGAGAGGAGGUGCAUGGCCGCCGUCAGCUCGUACCGUGAGGCGUCCACUUAAGUGUGGUAACGAGCGAGACCCGCGCCCCCAGUUGCCAGUCCCUCCCGCUCGGGAGGGAGGCACUCUGGGGGGACUGCCGGCGAUAAGCCGGAGGAAGGGGCGGGCGACGGUAGGUCAGUAUGCCCCGAAACCCCCGGGCUACACGCGCGCUACAAUGGGCGGGACAAUGGGUGCCGACCCCGAAAGGGGGAGGUAAUCCCCUAAACCCGCCCUCAGUUCGGAUCGCGGGCUGCAACUCGCCCGCGUGAAGCUGGAAUCCCUAGUACCCGCGCGUCAUCAUCGCGCGGCGAAUACGUCCCUGCUCCUUGCACACACCGCCCGUCACUCCACCCGAGCGGGGCCUAGGUGAGGCCCGAUCUCCUUCGGGAGGUCGGGUCGAGCCUAGGCUCCGUGAGGGGGAGAAGUCGUAACAAGGUAGC